AUUGAACGCUGGCGGCAUGCCUUACACAUGCAAGUCGAACGGCAGCGGACCUUCGGGUGCCGGCGAGUGGCGAACGGGUGAGUAAUAUAUCGGAACGUACCUUUCAGUGGGGGAUAACGUAGCGAAAGUUACGCUAAUACCGCAUAUUCUGUGAGCAGGAAAGCAGGGGAUCGCAAGACCUUGCGCUGAUUGAGCGGCCGAUAUCAGAUUAGCUAGUUGGUGAGGUAAAGGCUCACCAAGGCGACGAUCUGUAGCGGGUCUGAGAGGAUGAUCCGCCACACUGGAACUGAGACACGGUCCAGACUCCUACGGGAGGCAGCAGUGGGGAAUUUUGGACAAUGGGCGCAAGCCUGAUCCAGCCAUGCCGCGUGAGUGAAGAAGGCCUGGUGUAAGACUCUUCGU
rnacentral:rRNA from 1 species